AGAACCUUAGACUAGACAUGAACAUUUUUGUCUUUUUUACGUAAUGAAGACAGAAGCACAGGAAAACACAGUGUCAUCUUACUGGCUAUUGCUUCUUAUUAAAUGAUAUUAGAGACCUUCAAGCACAAAAAUACAGCUCGCUACUGAAAAACAGACUUGGAAUCGCAAAUAGGUAAUGUUAUGUUAUGUAUUAUAGAGUGAUGGAUAGUAUUACUACUGGUUUGUAAUUAUAUGUGAAAUAGUUAAUAGCACAAAAUGCUAAAUACACAUGAUUUGUAGUGUUAAGGUUGUAUACUUAUUACAUAUGCAAAUAAGACAUUUUAUACAAUUGAUUCGUUGUUUUAUAAAAUAUCAGAAAUGGUUUCUUAGGCAUUCUGCUCACUACCAGAUAGUAUAAUAGUAUAAAGUAAAACAAUGAAAGAAAAGAUCUGACUUCUAAAUUAGAAACCAUAGAUUAAUAACUUGUUAUAGCAUAAUAACCAUGUCCUUCACUGAAUUUUAUUUAUUUAUGAAAUAUAGCAAUUAUGGGUUACAGAUGGGAGAUAUUUAGACUUGCUGAAACAAAAAGUAGCAGAGAAGCCUGCCUGUGGACUUUAAUCUAGCAUUUGCAGCACUUUUGUGCUAGCUAGCUCUAUGGAUUAAGGUCAAUGAGCUUACAAUCUAAACAGGUAAUAUGCAUUAAGAUGAUUAAUGAUUUACUGUAAAUGAACUCCUGUUAUUACAUAGCCAUGUCAUUCUUGUUUGUAUAGACAGACAGUUAAGGAUGAGGGGAUAUGAUGUUAUUAAUCUUCAACAGUUAAAAACAUGGUUUUAAAAAGAGAUUUUAUAGUAUUUUAAAGGAACACUCCAAACACCAUACCCACUAGAGCUUUCUGUAAUUGUUAUGGUGCCAGGAGUUCCGUGGUGCCCACCCAACCCCCCUCCAAUAUCAAAGUGUUUUAGAAUGUUUGAUUGACUUCUUUCCAGGGGUUCGGCAGACCAAACUUUCUACCUCCAUUAGUUACUAUGGAAAGCAGGAUGCUCCUAAACAGGAGCUUUCAUUAGCUCUGCUGACCUUAGCACUUGAAUGCAGGGCUAGCUCUUUGACUAAGAGUGUCAGUUAUUUACAUUUAUGAGUUAAGCCCUACAACACCGAACUUGUCUCGUUAUCAAGCUUCUGACUUUCCAUAAGAAGUAUUGCAUAUGGGAAGUUGUUAGUUAGUAAGCGGUGUGACUAAGUGCAUUGGAUGGGUGCCAAUGCACUCCUGGCACUAUAACGAUUACAAUGUGCUGUGGUGCUGGAGUAUUCCUUUAACACUUGCAUUUUAUCAGUUAAAGUUUUUUCUGUGUCUGUAAAAUAAUGUCUAAAAUUGUUUUGAGAAGUAAGGGCAGCAAAGCAUGGUUUACAGAUAGAAAGGUUCUGGACUUUGUAAGAGUGGAAACAAAGGUUAGUGAUGGGAAAAAUGCAUAUUCCUUUAUGCAUUGCCACAGCUGUAAUAUGUGCAGAUGUAUGCUGUGACCCUAAUACAUGAUCUUACAUACAGGGCAGGGUUGGAUGGCUAAGUACAGAUACAGACAUCAAGCAACACAAACUAGAGGUGUGGCGGUAGAAAGAACUGUGUCUCUGCUAUCAGAUCUAUAAAAUAUGUAUAUUAAUAAGAAUAAUACAGCAGAGUAAUAAUUACUUUACAAAAAUAUAAUGUAGUUUUCUCCUGCAUCUUCUCAACUUCAAAAUUGGUUCUAGUAAGUUGAGAAUUGAUUUUUAGAAUUAUUCUGCAAAAUCACCAAUUUCAAAAAAACAAAACUACAACUCAGCUGUAUGGAUUUAUUCCAUACUUUGGAAAUAGUUAUACUUUCAGGGUCAUAUAUUAAAGUGAGAAUUUAUAGUGAAUACAGAAACAUUCUCUAAGUCAUCUUUGCUUUGUACCGAAGGGCAAGCUAUUGAGUUUACUCUAAGCUUUUGUCUGUUCUCAGAGUUAUCAUUCUUAUUUUUUUGACUUUAAUGCAUUUACUUGGCUCACCCCAAGUUAAAAGGGUAAUCCAGACGUGGAGCCUGUGCUCCCUGUGCCUUGAGGGAUAUCGGCUACACUUCACGAGGCCCAAAAGAAGGCCGAAACAAUAGUCAGGGGUUUCUGUAUCUCUCAUGCAGAGGGAACUUGCUGGCAUUUUGGAUCUGGACUGCCCGUACGGGUGGAACCAGUCUGAUAUGCUUCAUAUAUGUUCUCUCUGUAAUGGCACAAGUGAGCAAAAACUAUUUUGAGACCUAAUCGGGAUGUAUCGAAGGGCAAGCUAUUGAGUUUACUCUAAGCUUUUGUCCAUUCUCAGAGUUCUCAUUCUUUAUUUUUUGCUUCAAGUUCAGCUGCACUGCCCUUACAUUUGAAAUGUACUAUGUAUUCACUUGGAAUUAUCACUUUAGUAAAUAAACCUGUUAUAGUUCUAAAUAUUAUAAUGUGUAUGUAUCUAAUGUGUUCGAAAAUAUUGCAGAACAUCUCUGUAGUGAAUUUAUUCUUGUUACUUUUAUCCUCCAGAUAUGAUUGUAACCCUAAAUACUCUCUUUUCCUGCGCAUUCCUAAUUGGUG